rnacentral:rRNA from 1 species
AACGAACGCUGGCGGCAGGCCUAACACAUGCAAGUCGAGCGCGCCUUCGGGUGAGCGGCGGACGGGUGAGUAACGCGUGGGAAUAUGCCCUUCUCUACGGAAUAGUCCUGGGAAACUGGGGGUAAUACCGUAUACGCCCUUUGGGGGAGAGAUUUAUCGGGGAAGGAUUAGCCCGCGUUGGAUUAGGUAGUUGGUGGGGUAAUGGCCUACCAAGCCGACGAUCCAUAGCUGGUUUGAGAGGAUGAUCAGCCACACUGGGACUGAGACACGGCCCAGACUCCUACGGGAGGCAGCAGUGGGGAAUCUUAGACAAUGGGGGCAACCCUGAUCUAGCCAUGCCGCGUGAGUGAUGAAGGCCUUAGGGUUGUAAAGCUCUUUCAGCUGGGAAGAUAAUGACGGUACCAGCAGAAGAAGCCCCGGCUAACUCCGUG